rnacentral:rRNA from 1 species
AACGAACGCUGGCGGCAUGCCUAACACAUGCAAGUCGAACGAGACCUUCGGGUCUAGUGGCGCACGGGUGCGUAACGCGUGGGAAUCUGCCCUUGGGUUCGGAAUAACAGUUAGAAAUGACUGCUAAUACCGGAUGAUGACUUCGGUCCAAAGAUUUAUCGCCCAAGGAUGAGCCCGCGUAGGAUUAGCUUGUUGGUGAGGUAAAGGCUCACCAAGGCGACGAUCCUUAGCUGGUCUGAGAGGAUGAUCAGCCACACUGGGACUGAGACACGGCCCAGACUCCUACGGGAGGCAGCAGUGGGGAAUAUUGGACAAUGGGCGAAAGCCUGAUCCAGCAAUGCCGCGUGAGUGAUGAAGGCCUUAGGGUUGUAAAGCUCUUUUACCCGGGAUGAUAAUGACAGUACCGGGAGAAUAAGCCCCGGCUAACUCCGUGCCAGCCGCCGCUGUAAAAC